AACGAACGCUGGCGGCAUGCCUAACACAUGCAAGUCGAACGAGACCUUCGGGUCUAGUGGCGCACGGGUGCGUAACGCGUGGGAAUCUGCCCUUGGGUUCGGAAUAACAGUUAGAAAUGACUGCUAAUACCGGAUAAUGUCUUCGGACCAAAGAUUUAUCGCCCAGGGAUGAGCCCGCGUAGGAUUAGCUAGUUGGUGAGGUAAAGGCUCACCAAGGCGACGAUCCUUAGCUGGUCUGAGAGGAUGAUCAGCCACACUGGGACUGAGACACGGCCCAGACUCCUACGGGAGGCAGCAGUGGGGAAUAUUGGGCAAUGGGCGAAAGCCUGAUCCAGCAAUGCCGCGUGAGUGAUGAAGGCCUUAGGGUUGUAAAGCUCUUUACCGGGAUGAUAAUGACAGUACCGGAGAAUAAGCCCCGGCUAACUCCGUGCCAGCAGCCG
rnacentral:rRNA from 1 species